UCCGGAUGUCGAGAACCAUUGCUAGAUGGUCACUUCGAUUAGUACAGAAAUUGGUUCCUGUGCAACCGGCUUAGGUUCGAACCUGUGGGGUCACACACAUUAGAGGUUUCUAUCUGAUCUGAUGGCUGAUGUAGAAUCCUACAUGUUUGAGACUCAGUGAUCGAGAAUCAAAAUUCUCUGAUCACGAGUUUCACACAUUAUGGGUACCAGGGUCA
rnacentral:lncRNA from 1 species